UACAGAGGGUGCGAGCGUUAAUCGGAAUUACUGGGCGUAAAGCGUGCGUAGACGGCUAUCUAAGUCGGGUGUGAAAGCCCCGGGCUCAACCUGGGAAUUGCAUUCGAGACUGAAUAGCUAGGGUACGGUAGAGGGAAGUGGAAUUUCCGGUGUAGCGGUGAAAUGCGUAGAUAUCGGAAGGAACAUCAGUGGCGAAAGCGACUCCUGGACCAGUACCGACGUUCAGGCACGAAAGCGUGGGGAGCAAACAGG
rnacentral:rRNA from 1 species